rnacentral:rRNA from 1 species
AACGAACGCUGGCGGCAGGCCUAACACAUGCAAGUCGAACGCCCUAGCAAUAGGGAGUGGCAGACGGGUGAGUAACACGUGGGAACGUGCCCUUCGGUUCGGAAUAACUCAGGGAAACUUGAGCUAAUACCGGAUACGUGCGAGAGCAGAAAGAUUUAUCGCCGAAGGAUCGGCCCGCGUCCGAUUAGCUAGUUGGUGAGGUAAUGGCUCACCAAGGCGACGAUCGGUAGCUGGUCUGAGAGGAUGACCAGCCACACUGGGACUGAGACACGGCCCAGACUCCUACGGGAGGCAGAAGUGGGGAAUAUUGGACAAUGGGCGCAAGCCUGAUCCAGCCAUGCCGCGUGAGUGAUGAAGGCCCUAGGGUUGUAAAGCUCUUUCGCCAGGGACGAUAAUAACGGUACCUGGAUAAGAAGCCCCGGCUAACUUCGUGCCAGCCGCCGCGGUAA